AAAGGGUCUAUUGCGGCGUGAAAAGCAGCGUAUGUCUGAAACAUUUAACGGCACUGUCUUUAAUUACUGCGAAAACAAAAAAAACAGCAGUGGAUGAAAUCUUCAUGAGCAUUUUCAACAGAAGCCUGUUAACGACAAAACUUUUUAUGAACAAAAUGCUGCUUGUUGCCUGGAAGAUGGUGUUUGUUUGACAAGUUCCCUGGGUGUGAUGAGCCAAACAGAACUGUUUUAGAUCAUAGACCCUACGCGGGCUGGGAACCCUCCCACAGCCGGCGAGACAUUAUCUGCCCUUUUUCCCCCCGCGUUGUAACCGGAAGUGAACUUACAAGUGUGCUCAUUGGUCGGUUGUGAUUGGGGUAUAUGCUCCCGUAUUAACUUUAUUGAACCAACGGUUGGGCGUAUAGCUCCUCCGAUGAAUUAUCAUGUGUCUGUUCAGGCUCCCCUUUAGUCCAAAUCUUUGACUACACUCAGAACAGACAAAUGUUUUUUGCCCUGUAUGAAUUAUCAUGUGAGCAUUCAGAUUGCCCUUUCGUGCAAAUCUUUUACCACACUCAGAACAGACAAAUGUUUUUUGCCCUGUAUGAAUUACCAUGUGUGCAUUCAAGUCGCCCUUUCGUCCAAAUCUUUGACCACACUGAGAACAGACAAAUGCUUUUUGUCCUGUAUGAAUUAUCAUGUUGCCCUUCUGUUUCUGUCUUUUACUCUGAUCAGAACAGCUAAAUUGUUUUCUUUUUGCUUGACUCUCCUUUUCUUGCUCUGAAUUGUUAACAUGACCAGAUGCUUUUACAUAUUGAGA